rnacentral:lncRNA from 1 species
CCGGCGAUGUCAUCUCUACAUAUUUAUAGGGCCUCUAUGGAGAGGGUGUGCAUUAUAGAAACGACGGCAUUUUUCUCCGGAUGACGGGUUACGCGAAUGGGUCCAAACGAUGAGCUACGUGUCCCAGCGCAUGUCUGAUAGCCUGGUUGGCGGAGGCGGCCAUCUUCUGCUGGUGAAUGGGCAGCCGGACGUGUGCCCAGAUCUUGGGGAGCAAAGAAGUGGCAAAGCCCCCUGGCCACAAUGGGCCCUGGCUCCCCGUUCCAGCCCACAAGUGGCACCAGGAGCGAGUAAUCAGAGCAGUGGUGCUGAGCUCCCUGUCAUGGGAGGCAUUCAAGGGAAGCUGGACCACUAGAGCAGAGAGGAAAAGGAGAGGCAGGAGGUUGAAGGGUGUGCGGUUAGCCGUGUAGGCUGACCAUUCUGUUCUAUGGUUCCGUGGCCGUGUCUCAGGGCCCACUCCGAGUCAGGCUGGCCACACAGUCAAGGCCUCAGGUGGGGGCAGAGGCGAGCGGACCCCAGUGAGGAGUGAGGCCUGCCAUGGAGCACACAGAGGAGACCUAACCAUCCCUGGGGGCUGAGGGAGGGCUUCCUGGAGGGGGCUUGCGAAGGGCAAGGUCAGAGCUUGGCCUCCUGGGCCGUGAGGAGGGCUGGACUUCACCCCGAGGAUGCUGUGGAGCCACCGGGCCUUCAGCGGGGGAGGCAAGCUCAGCUCAGCUCAGCGUACCCUGGCUGCGGCGGGAAGAACGAUUGGGGGUGGGGAUGCGAGGCCAAGGGGCCUGGUCUCCAGAUCCGGGGCCAGGACAGCUUCAGAGCCACUCUUGCCUGGCCGUCAACUUCCCUCCAUGUGCGCUCUUUCCUAGCAACUCCAACUGCGCUGGCCCCACAGACCCCACACCCCGGCCGCUUCUCCACUCUAACUCCUGCUCACCUUGCUUCAGCUCCCCAGCCAGUCCAGAGAGCCACGUGGGUCUAGCGUGGAGCUAACUUCCUACUUUACUGAGUAAAGACUCUCAGCAGAAAACCCAGCUCCCCUGCUAUCGCCGCAACCUCGUAAAACAGGGACCCCGAAACCCCCCGGGGUGGAGGCCGAGGGAACUCAGAACAGAGCGCCGGCCGUCAUGCUGCCUGUUCUCAUCUGUCACUGAUGGCAGAAGAUGUCACCACCAGAGCCCAGAGGUCCCAGGAACUGGGGCUGAUGCCCGGGGUCCCUGGCCGCCUGCCGACGGUGUCCCUGUGGCUGUGCGUGCUCACGGCCCGUGUGGUGCCCCACAGCUGUGUGCACAGUUACAAGGCCUUUGGCAGCAGGAAUGGGCGUCCCUGGGGGAUCUGACACUGAACCCCGACACCGACCCUGGUUUCAUCGUCGUGUCACCAUGAGCACGUUGCAAUUGACAUUCACGGGCCCGAGAUGCUUUCCAGGGUGAAAGCAGACGGGCAAACGCUGCCUCCCCGCCUCUCUGUGUUCUCUUCAGACAGAGCUCGGACCCUCUCCUCCAACUCUCUCCUGAAAACCUGUUUGGGUAAUUAUUUAGCAGGGAAAAUCUUGGCAUACGUUAGCUUAUAAGCAGGACAAAGACCCUCGGAAGUCCUGCUCCGAGGGCUGCAGUGACGGGGCGUUCCCAGGGCCCUGGGCCUCUGUCCAGCCCAGUGCAGCCUCCGGUGUGGCGGGGUCCUGCUCUCCAGGACCACCCUGGGCUCUCUGCUUGCCGCGUCUGAGCCAAGAGGUCCUGCUCAAGGGAGAUGUCCAGGCCCUCCCUGCACCCUGGCCCACGGCCCUUGCCACCACAAACCAACCCAACCACGUGCACAACCCUGUGGCCGACUAGGCCGCAGCUCCACAGAGGCCUCCCCUGCUGGGAGCAGCCUGGGCUGGACAGGGCAAGGGACACGGGGUCCCUGUGGACCAGCAGCAACCAGCAGAUGCCAGUUCUCAGCCGUCCUCGAAGGCUGGGGGAGAGUCGGCACUGGCUUGGUGGACGAGAGGCCUCAGACGUUUCGGAGCAGAGGAACGAGGGGAUCUCUUAGAAACCGGGAAUAUGAGAAAGAACGAUGAAAUGGCCUCCUGGAGAAUAGCUGCCUGUCUGAUGCUCGAUGAUCCCUCCCCCUCGCUCUCCCUCUCUCCAAGUGCAAUCGGAUUAUUUUGGUGCCCACAAUGCCCUCGUGUCAACACAUCGGAGCCUCUCCUGAGAGCGCCCGGGCACCGAGGGAGCAGAGCGACUGCAGCUUUUGCCUUUGGGGUGGCGGUGGCACCAAGGCCUUUGAAUCAAUCCUGUCAUUCUGAGGAUUGUGGGCAGGCAGAGAGGAGGGGAGAGGGCGCUGGCCUGGGGACCUCGGCAUCACUCUCUCUGUUUUAUGGACUAGAAAGAUUAAGUAACUGGCCCGCGGUCACAAGGCAGCAGCAGGGCUGGGAUUCAACUCAGGUGUGUUGGUCACAGAGCAUUUUCCUUUUCAACAUUCAGUCGUCAUUCAGCAGAUAGUGACCUCCCUCCAGGGCUCUCGGCUCGGGAGAUGCAGCAGGAGCGUGUCAGGCCCCACGGAGGCAGAAGAUGAACACGGAUCAGAUCACAGAGCAGGCCAACUUAGAGACAGCUUAGCGCUUUGAGAGGAGGCCGCAAGGGGAUGCCCGAGGGGCCGAGGUGGGCUGCUGUAGACGGGUGGCCAGCUGGUCUCUAGGAGGUGGCCUGAAAAGGGAUGGAUGCUGGAGGAGCCCGCUCUGACGGAGGAGGUGGCACAGGCUGGCGGGCGGGAGCAGAGCCCGGCACUGUUCUGCCGUCCGUGAAGUCUCAACACAGAUUGGGGAGGUGGCUUUUGCCUUUUGCUCCAGCUAUGGUGGGGAACUGGGCGCCGGGGCCAGUGUGUGGCUCCAGCGAUGGGCCCGGGCCCACUGUCCAGCCCUGUCAUUCCGUGGCUGGAUCCUCAUCAGGGGCUUGGGCAUCUGGACCCCAGGCAAGCUGCUCCUUGGAAGAAGCAGCCGGCCCAGCCAAGAAGAGCCCAGUGCUCUGAGGACCACUCCCCUUCACUCGUGUGGCUUAUCAGGAGGGGGGCUCGCAGGCGCUUCUCUGUGACCCCUGCCUGCGUCUCACGGGGUCACACCCCACAGGGCAUUCAUGAAUGUGGAGAUCUGCAGAUUCCUUGGCAGGCCGGCUAUUGCCAGUCAAGCGAGGUUUCAAACACUGGGCGGCUCCGCCAGCCCGGUCUGAGGCCAACCUGGGGCGCCGGUGGCAGCACAGUUUCCCGGAGUCCCAGAACCCCACCAGGCAGCAGGCCACAGGGCCUCACCCUGCUGGACGCCCUCUUGGUUCUCUGGCAUCUGAAGUCUGUGUGACAGUGUGUGGCCUCACCACGGCUGGCUGCUUCCACGUGGCAGGAGACAAAGUUCCCGUGGCCUCGUUUCUUCCUUUUCCCUGGUGGGCAGGAGCCCAGGAGGCUGGCCCGGGGGGUGGGUCAGCGAGGAGAGCCCACUGACCCUGACUCUGAGGGAGGUACUGACGUGAGUCCCAUUUGAAAGGAAACUGAGGCUCCCGGAGGUCAGGUGACAUGCUACGUGGUGUAGCGAGGACACUGGGCUCUCCUGUCACUUGGACCCAGCUUCUGAAUCUCCCCCGUCUGUGGAGCCCCGGGCCAUCUCCGCCUCCUCCCAGAAGCCUUUGGAAAGGCCCCUCUUCCCGGAGCCCCCUGCUUGGGUGCAGAGCUGUCACAGUUUUAGCUUCCAAAGGUAAGCUCCUCCCAGGAAGCGAACUGGUGGCCUUUGUGGCCCCGUGGACCAUGGACACAGUGGGUGCUUUAUAAAUUACCAGGUCGUGACCCUUAAUGGGCUCCACCAGUUUUGGGCUGAUCCCAGGCCGUGGCCGUGGCCUGGAUGGACUCCGGGUGUCGGCAGUCCCUCUGGGGACCGUGCCUGCUGGGGUGCUCUGUGAACUGUGGGUCGGCUGUUUAUGGAAGCUCUUUUUGACUUCAAGGAAAAUCAUGUGUUUGGAAAAGAAGAUACCGCGAGGAGAGCCGAAUCUCUCACCUCUGUUCUGGAAAAAUAGAUCAUUAUUUUCCUUCCCUUUUCUUUCCUCCCCGUAGCAGAGCAGAUGUUAACUUUCCAAUAAACGGGGGGAAAAAAUAGAUGAGAGACAUUUAGCAAACUGUAGCUGUGCAGAUCAGAGUUAUCACUCUGAUUUCAACUGGGACUAUAAAAUUUUAUGAGCUAUUAAAUUGUCCUAAAGCUCCUUUAACAUACAAACUCGAGUGUCUG